rnacentral:lncRNA from 1 species
CUAUAAUUAAAACUUGUGUUACUGAUUUAAGAUUUAGCAUAGUGAAUACUAACGAAAUGUACACUUUCUCUUCCAGGAGAGGAUGGGGUGUCUCCAUCUCCAUCUUUGAAAUGUUUCCCAAGGCUGUUGUCUUGGGAGAACAGUUAGUGAAAUUUUUGUUGGUUUUAUAAUGUAUAAAAGGUUCCCUGGAUCCAGCCGUAAAGGGAUCUCCCAAUUAAGUAAGUCUGAAGUGCGGGGAAAGGGAUUACCUGUAACAACUGUUGUCAUGGAGAGAAGACCAAGGCGCAGCAAUUAUGACGAAAGUGGUAGGAGUCCUGAGACCGUCCAAACUCCUCUCAUGCUGCUGAUGCACUGGUGGGAAAAUGGACAAGACAUUAUGAACUGUACGGGAUGGUGGUGGAGGCUCAGGUAUACUGACCUCAGCCUCUUCAUCGUUGACAUCCUGAGGGACCGGAGCAUCAGCCUCCCAGUCUUCAAGACCAUCAUGCCACAGCCGGAUGUUGUGGAACACAAAAUGCUGCUGUGGUGACCACAGGGACCUUUCAAUGUCCACCAUGGGCAGGUACUUGAGGCGUCUCCACUUGACCUUGAGGUGUCCAAAUGCCAUUUCAAUGUCAACUCUCGUGGAGCUGUGAGAUGGAGUUGAAUUUCUUCUGCAUUGGAGAGAAAUGCCCAUUGUUCCUGUAAGGCAUAAUGAGGUAAGGGACAAGGAGGUAGGCUGAGUCGCCGAGAAGGUGGAAAUCAUCCAUGUUGGCCUGCUCAAGGUGCUGGAAAAGGUUAAUAUUUCGAAGUACCCUGGCAUCAUGAACAGAUUCAGGCCAUCCGGUGUACACAUCCAGAAAUGACAACUGGAAUCACUCCUGGAAAUCCACUUUCUUUGAAGGCCCUUGCCAUGCUUGGGAAUUAUUCAGCUCGAGGCCACGAGAUGUAGUGGGACCUUAUGUCACAUAGAACCUGUGUGACCUCUGACACGCUGUCUGUGACCCCCCCCCCCUGUAGCUUUCUUGGUUCAAAUCACAGACAGAACCUUCUUUGGGAUGUCAUGGACCUUGUCCUUUAAGGCGGAAGCAAUUUCCUCACAGGACUUAGGUGAAAUGACUUACAACAUAAAAUGUCUGUAUUCUCUAAAACUGUAAAACAUAGUGUAGUAUGUUAGAACUCACAAGUACAGAAUACUGUAAAACAUUAGUAUAGUUUGUCUAACCCUAGAUUAAGUAAUUCCUGGAAUAGUUU